GAGGACACAAUCUCUCCCCUGAGGCAGAGACCCAGGGCUGCCCCGCACAGUCGCGCAGAUCGUGUACUGCCCUGCUCCUGGGGCUCAUUCACACAGGUUGCCAUGGCUGUGGGGUCCCUGGGGCUGGGCUAUCUGCCAACCUGGGGGACGCUGCACCCUGUUUUCUGUCCUGUCUACUCCAGCUUUUCACACUCUCUGUUGCCCUUGUCCUUGGGCAUCUCAGUGACUCGAAGGAAUUGGGUCUUGAGACACAGCCGAGCCUGUGAGCGCUGACCUGUGUAAAGAAGACACCAGAAUGAGAUGUCUCCACACACAGAGAGCUGCAGCCGAUGCCGGCCGGUGACUUGGGACUUGGAUGCUUAACAGGAGGCUCCCCCUCUCUUGGGAGGUAGAGAGCAGUGAGGAAGGGGACUCAGCCUCCAUGCCUCCCGCCAGCCCAGCUGCGCCCGAAUCACCUCCCUCCUGAAAGGAUGUCAGCCUCUGCUUGGACACCGUGGAGACAGGGCCCUCCUUGUGCUUCAGAAGCAUCAACGUGUCAGAAAAUCAUCUUCACGCCAAGUCUGGAAAAAAUGGCUUUGAGGUUGUGCACACAAAGGAAGGAGGGAGAGCCCCAGGUGUCGCGGAGGACCAUGCGGCUGACAGAGCCAGCAGGGCGGUGGCGUGUGAGCCGUGCUCUGGAUAUAUAAGGAUCUGACGCUGCUGGCAAUGUCUGAGCUCUAUGCUCGCCCAUCUGUCGGCUGCUAUCAUCACCGGGUGGGAUUAGCGGAGAUCCACUCUUUCAUAUUUAAAUCUUCACAAGAGAAUGAAUCACUUUUAUAAUAAAAGAAAAAGACCG
ensembl:lncRNA LINC00659 long intergenic non-protein coding RNA 659